rnacentral:sRNA from 1 species
UCUCCUUCUUCCUUUUCUUUCUCUCUUUCAGGUUAUUAAAUGCAAAGCAGCCAUCGCCUGGGAAGCAGGCAAGCCCCUUUGCAUUGAAGAGGUUGAAGUAGCUCCCCCCAAGGCUCAUGAAGUUCGCAUUCAGAUCAUUGCCACUUCCCUGUGCCAUACUGAUGCCACUGUUAUCGAUUCUAAAUUUGAGGGCCUAGCUUUCCCAGUGAUCGUUGGCCAUGAGGCUGCAGGGAUUGUGGAAAGUAUUGGGCCAGGAGUGACCAACGUCAAACCAGGUGACAAAGUAAUUCCACUUUAUGCACCUCUAUGUAGAAAAUGCAAGUUUUGUCUGAGUCCACUCACAAAUUUGUGUGGAAAAAUCAGUAAUCUCAAAAGUCCUGCUAGUGAUCAACAACUAAUGGAAGACAAAACCAGCAGGUUUACCUGCAAAGGAAAACCAGUUUACCAUUUCUUUGGAAUCAGUACAUUCUCUCAGUACACUGUGGUGUCAGAUAUCAAUCUUGCCAAAAUAGAUGAUGAUGCAAAUUUAGAGAGAGUUUGUCUGCUUGGAUGUGGGUUUUCAACUGGCUAUGGGGCUGCAAUCAACAAUGCCAAGGUCACCCCUGGUUCGACUUGUGCUGUCUUUGGCCUAGGAGGUGUGGGUCUUUCUGCUGUAAUGGGUUGUAAAGCGGCAGGAGCUUCCAGAAUCAUAGGUAUUGACAUCAACAG